GAUGAACGCUGGCGGCGUGCUUAACACAUGCAAGUCGAACGAUGAAGCUCAGCUUGCUGGGUGGAUUAGUGGCGAACGGGUGAGUAACACGUGAGUAACCUGCCCUUAACUCUGGGAUAAGCCUGGGAAACUAGGUCUAAUACCGGAUAGGAGCGCCUACCGCAUGGUGGGUGUUGGAAAAAUUUAUCGGUUUUGGAUGGACUCGCGGCCUAUCAGCUUGUUGGUGAGGUAAUGGCUCACCAAGGCGACGACGGGUAGCCGGCCUGAGAGGGUGACCGGCCACACUGGGACUAAGACACGGCCCAGACUCCUACGGGAGGCAGCAGUGGGGAAUAUUGCACAAUGGGCGAAAGCCUGAUGCAGCGACGCCGCGUGAGGGAUGACGGCCUUCGGGUUGUAAACCUCUUUCAGUAGGGAAGAAGCGAAAGUGACGGUACCUGCAGAAGAAGCACCGGCUAACUACGUG
rnacentral:rRNA from 1 species